rnacentral:tRNA from 1 species
ACUAUCUGAAACCAUACUUAACCUGACUACGAAUCAGGCGGUUAGAAGUUCGAAUCUUCUCGGGUGUA